CGUCAACUUGUGAACUGCAGGACACAUGAACAUCGACAUUUCGAACGCACAUUGCGGUCCUCGGAUUCUGUUCCCGGACCACUCCUGGCUGAGGGUCGUAUCUAUUUUAAAGACUGCUCGGUUUUCUUUCGUUCAGACUCCCGUCGUCGAUGUGUAGAUAGAUAUCUGAGAGGUAUCUUCCCUACUAAGCUUCGGUGAUGUCAGACGAAAAAAAAACGUCGGAGCGAGUUGGAUGUUAGACGCGUCGAAACUGAUUACAGUCCUCGAUGCGACAUCUUAAAAUGCGAAAGCAGCCGGAUAGUGAAACGAUUAAUUUUUCGUAAGCUUUCCGGUACACAGCAAGCGUCGACGUGUACGCGGUGCGAAAUCAUAAGCGAUUCGUUUAAGCUAUCGCGUCGUCGUGUAUCAGAUAAAAUACACGAUAGCGAUGUAAACGUCAAUCGUGCCGUUUAACGAUCGUCGUGUCCGAUAUUUUCGAUUGAAAAACACGGAAAAUGACGUCUGAUCGUUUCCGUCCUAAUAUUAAUAAAUAAUUAGUGACGGGGCGGCUAUGAUAAAAUCGCAUCGCUAAUCUAAACACGUCGUUACGCGCUGCUGUUAUUUUUGAUUUAUCGACCUCAGAGCAGGUGAGACUACCCGCGGAAU
rnacentral:misc_RNA from 1 species